AUUGAACGCUGGCGGCAGGCCUAACACAUGCAAGUCGAACGAGUAGCGGACGGGCGAGUAAUGUCUUGGAAACUGCCCGACGGAGGGGGAUAACUACUGGAAACGGUAGCUACUACCGCAUACCAUCGGAUGUGCCCAGAUGGGUUUAGGUAGUUGGUGGGGUAACGGCUCACCUAGGCGACGAUCCCUAGCUGGUCUGAGAGGAUGACCAGCCACACUGGAACUGAGACACGGUCCAGACUCCUACGGGAGGCAGCAGUGGGGAAUAUUGGACAAUGGGCGCAAGCCUGAUGCAGCCAUGCCGCGUGUAUGAAGAAGGCGUUCGGGUUGUAAAGUACUUUCAGCAGGGAGGCGUUACUCGAAGAAAAAGCACCGGCUAACUCCGUGCCAGCAGCCGCGGUAAUAC
rnacentral:rRNA from 1 species